rnacentral:rRNA from 1 species
AUUGAACGCUGGCGGCAGGCCUAACACAUGCAAGUCGAACGAGUGGCGGACGGGUGAGUAAUGUCUGGGAAACUGCCUGAUGGAGGGGGAUAACUACUGGAAACGGUAGCUAAUACCGCCUACCAUCAGAUGUGCCCAGCUGGGAUUAGCUAGUAGGUGGGGUAACGGCUCACCAAGGCGACGAUCCCUAGCUGGUCUGAGAGGAUGACCAGCCACACACGACCUGAGACACGGGUCCGAACCCUACGUGAGUCAGCAGGUGUGAAUAUUGCACAAUGGGCGGAAGCCUGCUGCAGCCAUGCGGCGUUUAUUGAGAAGCUCUUCGGGUUGUAAUUGACUUUGAGCGGUACGGCGUUACCCGCAGAAGAAGCACCGGCUAGCGCCGUGCUAGCAGCCGCGGUAAUAC